rnacentral:tRNA from 1 species
GGUCCGUUCGUCUAUCGGUUAGGACAUCAGGUUUUCAACCUGAGAAGAGGGGUUCGAUUCCCCUACGGACUGCCA